AGGAAGCGUAAGUAAACGACCGGCACUGCUGAUGCUUGUUCCCAGGGCUAAAUUCCGUGGCCUCCUC
rnacentral:tRNA from 1 species